UAAAUGCAAAGGAUAUAAGUGAAGAAUUGGAUCAAGUGGUUAGGACAGAACGACUGAACCGCAUGGUAGACAUAUUGUUUUUUGAUGAAUAGUCUCUCCCUUCUCAAGUGUAGUUGGGUUAAAUGAGAUCCCCUGUGAGAGCCUUCAUGCCAAAACCCAUGUAUUGUGAUACAUUUGACACCAAAUAAUUUACAUGUAUGUAGAAGGGAGAAGUAUUUUAUGCAAGGUGAGCCUAAAUGCUGCAAUUGUGGUGGUGAACAUGCACCCGAAUUCUUGAAAUGUCCUGUUAGGAUGAAGGAGACAGAGGUGGCAAGAAUAAGGGCUGUCCAGAGUGUCUCCUAUUCGGAGGCGUCGCGAAGAGUGGAAGAAGAAAGGUGUGAAGCUGAAGAAGUAAUGGUAGUAGGAGUAGAGAUGAUGUUCCUUGUCAACACAGGGAUCCUGACAUGUUGCAUGUUAGAAGGUGGACGUUUUGUUACUUUGGUUAUCAACUGCACAGCACAAACGUAGAGUAAGUCACAGACAAUAGGCAUUGUGAGUGUGGCUGAUCAAUAACUUUUCUUCGGAGGAAUUGCAAGGAAUCCUCUCGAUGAAUGCUUCUUCCUCACAGGCACAUGAGUCUGUAGGGAUGUGAUUUGAAUGUGACUGAAGGAGUGGGAUGGUUGUUCAGAUGUAUUUUUGUAUUAUCCCGCAAUGGAAUAGUGGGUGGCGGCAAUACACCAAUAGUUGUCGUCUGCCACAAAGCUUUAAAGAAAAAGAAGAUGCUCCGGUGUCCACCUGAUGGGGCUGUUUAUUAAUCCUGACAUUGAAAUGCAUAAGGCAUGAGCAGACAAUCAAAGCCUACUUUUCAAGGCUGCCGUUUGAGGGGCCCUUUACGCAACUAUCAACCCUGAGAGAACCAGUUGGACGGAAGGGGCCACAAAAGAUCCGUGUUCAAUGGACUGUCUGGUGGUGUUUUAAAAGCCUGACCUAGCAUCUCAACGAGAUCGAGAGACCACGUCAACCUUACCUACUCACUACCGGAACAACAAAGCAGACAAUCAACCUUUUUCAUCUGCAUGGACAAGAAACUCAUCCAAUGCCAGGCACACCUCUCUAGAAACGCUUGAUUAACUCUUUAAGGCCCACUUUGUGUUCAGCGCACAAUACGACGAGUCCCUCCGUGCCAUGUACAUCUUCCUCCAGACAACAGUGUUUGAAAUUGGUGUUGGCAGCACCAGAGCGCUCCAAGGUAAAGGAACUGAGAGUUAAACUGACAAUAUAUAGAUGCUACAUUUACCAGUCAUUGAAUGACACACCUUGCACGUUGAUUCAUCACCUCAAGCUUUUGCAUGGUUUACAUCAAGGUAAAAAUAUCAUUUUGACAUGUGCACAGGAUGAUGUUCAUUGCAAUUUAAAAGUUAAGUAGGUUUCAGAAAGCAUCUAAGCAAUUUCCAUAGUGGUGAGUAAGCCCAGUUAGCUGAUAUUGAUACAUACAUUUACAUUUAAGUCAUUUAGCAGACGCUCUUAUCCAGAGCGACUUACAAAUUGGUGCAUUCACCUUAUGACAUCCAGUGGAACAGCCACUUUACAAUAGUGCAUCUAAAUCUUUUAAGGGGGGGUGAGAAGGAUUACUUUAUCCUAUCCUAGGUAUUCCUUAAAGAGGUGGGGUUUCAGGUGUCUCCGGAAGGUGGUGAUUGACUCCGCUGUCCUGGUGUCGUGAGGGAGUGUGUUCCACCAUUGGGGAGCCAGAGCAGCGAACAGUUUUGACUGGGCUGAGCGGGAACUGUACUUCCUCAGUGGUAGGGAUACACCACCAACUCGACCAAUAGUGACAGUUGAUCAAGUUCCUUUGCAAAUGUGUGCCCCUGAUGCAGCCCAAUCAGAUUCAAGUGAACAACCAUAGAGCUCUCAAAUGCCAAAAGACCAGGCUCAAGAGAUGUGUGCCCCUGAUGUAGCCCAAUCAGAUUCGAGUGAAGAACCAUAGAGCUCUCAAGUAGUUGAAAGCAUGGAUGAAUAUGUGAAGUCUUAAGGGUAAACUCUGAGGGUAGUCCUCCCUGACAACCCAAGUGGAGCUGUAGAAGGUGUUUUUGACAAUGUACAUAUGCCUUUCAGUGACCUGAAUACUGACACUAAGUGGAAGACAUACUAAUGUGAGAAAUGGGGAGUUGUUGAACCUAUUGGAAUACCUUUAGGAGGGUCAUCACUAGUUACCACAGCCAAAAAAUCAGGAUCUCCUACUCGACCAAUCAGAUGUGAUAACACGUACGCCGGUUUAGAUGAUGUAUGCCGACCGGCUUGCAGGGGAGAGACAUGCACAUUUUUUUCUUACUAGCUCUGACUUUGAUGACUGCUACUUUAUUGAGGGAGAAUGUACUUCUAAUUUAGCUGAUUGCUACUUUAUUGAGGAAAAAUGUUAUGUGGUUGUCCCUCCUAGCUAUCUUAAAACCUUUUACUGCAGUGGACUAAAUCAGGGUCACACAGAGUGUUUCUUGGUACAAAUCUACUUUGAAACCAAAGUACACACCACACACACGUGGUUAUGGGCUUAAAUGUCAGAUAUAAAGUUGAAAUGUAUGCAAUUUUGAGUUAUCCCAAUAUUACACUUGGACUGGGGUGCAAAAGAGCAAGAGGGUAAGUAAAAAUAUGGGAAUGAGGUAGUCGGGUGUGCUAUUUACAGAUUGGCUGUGCAUACUUAUAGAUGACCUGGAGCCAGUGGGUUUGGCGACAGAUAUGUCGUGAGGGCCAGCCAACGAGAGCAUAGAGGUCCCAGUGGUGGGUAUUAUAUGCGGCUUUGGUGACAAAACAGAUGGCACUGUGAUAGACUACAUUUGGUUUGCUGAUUCGAGUGUUGAGGGCUAUUUUGUAAAUGAUAUCGCCGAAGUCAAGGAUCGGUUGAUGUAACCAUUUGUAACACUUUCCAUCUCUGUACAAAGGCAUGGUCUUCAACGUAUGGAAGAUGGCAGCAAUUUAAUAAUAAUAAUAUACUUUAAUAAUAAUAAUAAUAGACUUAAACUAUGUCAUUUCUAGACACCCAAAGCACUUUCAGUGUAAGGGGAAACUCACCACCCUAACCCCACUUACAUAUGUCAAUGUGCAGCGGUUAGGACGGAGUCAGGCGCAGGACACAGAACUGAGUAAAAGACGUACUUUACUCGAAAAGAUACAACAAAUAUUUCCACGCAGGGAAAACACACCAGCUCACAGAAGUCUUGAACACUAAACAAAGAACAAACACGCACAAAACCAUGUGGGAACCAGAGGGUUAAAUAGAGAAUAAAUUCUAACGUAAUGGGAACCAGGUGUGUACAAUCAAGACAAAACAAAUGGAAAAAGAAACGUUGAUCGGUGGCAGCUAGAAAGCCGAUGACGACGACCGCCGAACGCCGCCCGAACAAGGAGAGGCACCAACUUCAGCGGAAGUCGUGACAACAUACUCAUUAUUCAUAUUUAUUUUAUUGGCCCAUCCAAAAGUUACUUAGAUUUGUUUAGUUUUUUUUACAGAUUACAGAUACAGUGGCUUCAGAAAGUUUUCACACCCCUUGACGUUUUCCACAUUUUGUUGUGCUACAGCCUGAAAGAAAAAUGUAUACAAUUUAGAUUUGAGUUUUUUUUUAAACAUUUUUACAAAUGAAUAAAAAAGGAAAAGCCUUGAGUCAAGAAGUAUUCAACCCCUUUGUGAUGACAAGCCUAAAUAAGUUGCAUGGACUCACUCUGUG